rnacentral:rRNA from 1 species
UACGAAGGGGGCUAGCGUUGUUCGGAAUUACUGGGCGUAAAGCGUACGUAGGCGGAUCGAUCAGUCAGGGGUGAAAUCCCAGGGCUCAACCCUGGAACUGCCUUUGAUACUGUCGAUCUGGAGUAUGGAAGAGGUGAGUGGAAUUCCGAGUGUAGAGGUGAAAUUCGUAGAUAUUCGGAGGAACACCAGUGGCGAAGGCGGCUCACUGGUCCAUUACUGACGCUGAGGUGCGAAAGCGUGGGGAGCAAACAGG